CUCUGAUGUACAGUAUUGGCAUUCUGGGCUGGUUUUGUGCAAGAAGUCCCAAAGGCAAGGUAUUUGUUUGAAUACAUAGAAGAAGAUGACAAGUGUGCAUGGAUGAUUUUACGUAAUUAACACCUGCUAGAUUUGCAAAAGGCAAUUAUCACUGCGAAGUGUUUACAUUGAUUUAUGGGAGGAAGGCGGCCCAUGAGAGGGAUGCUGAUAAUAUCAACACAGUGGAUUAAAUGCACAUUUACACCUUUAUUGACAUAUAAAUUAUCUGUGCCAGGAAUGCACUGAAAAGGCUGCUGAUGGAACAGUAAUGUGGCACACACUAGUGGGUUUGGAUUCAGCUCCGUCAUCCUUCUGUAAGGCACUUGCAUGGAAACCUUCAUCUGAGCUGCUAUAGGACACAGAGGCUCACAGAAUGGCUGCUUGGUAGAAUAAUGAGCAGUGAUGGCAAAUGGGAAUUCAGAAGAAUGAUGAAAGACAAUGGACGAGGUUUGAAGGAAUUGUCUCGCCUUUUUUAAAAUUACUUUUAGUUUUUUGCUGUUUAUGCUAUGGAUUUUUAGAGAAAGCUUAAAGAGGCUGGAAGAGUCUUUGCAGCAGGGAAAUGGAAUCUGGCUCCGAAUCCAGCCAACAUCAGAAAAGAAAGAUUGUGACACAUGGACUGGAAGAUCAAAAAAGGAUCUAAAAUUAGCCUGGUUUUCAGGCCUGGAUCUUUUUCAAGAUGUUCUUACUGGAGCCCAACCUUCCCUAAGCCAGCAGGGCUGAGCUCUCAGCAUGGAACGAUGGAAAUGGUGUUGGAGCAUCUGACACAUUUCUGCUCCAAGGACUACCAGUCCUCUCAGAUGGUAAAUUUACAUUCUUUAUCGACUUGUAGGGUUUUGAAGUGUUUUAUAUGGCUGUGUUUAAGCUGACAUUGUGGACAGUUAUGGCAGAACAUUAGAAGACUUGUCUUGGUGGGAUCUCCGUGAGGUGGAUCAUGAGGGACAUGUGCUUUCCCAUGUGAAAUUGGUGGAUAAAGAGAUUGAGGUGGAAACAGUUACUUAAAAAAACAGCUACCAUAAAAUUUACCUUUCUGUAUUUACUACAAAACAGCCAGCAGAAGUGGUACACGUGGAAGCAGAAUUGCUGAAAAAUCCCAGCAACAGCCAAAACUGAACAUGUGAGCUUAUGUGGGAACUUGAAUUACAUUUCACAUUGCAAUGUUGGAGGAAGAAUAGAACUUGAUAAUAAGUAGAGCACAGUUUCUGACUCUAGUUUUUAGUUCUGCCACUUGGUCGCUGUGUAACCUUGGGUGAGUCAUUGAGGAUGGCAUCUGCAGAAGGAUCCAGCAGUGCUGUCUUUCAUCCUGGAGACACCUACAAUGCAAUCCAAAAAAUGCCUCCUUUUUCUGUCUGAAAGAGUCUCAGCUGUAAAAACCUGAGGUUUGCUCAUGUAAAACUUCCUGAAAAGACUGAGUGUUAAAUGGGCAGGUCCCAGCUCCCCUUGCCAUGAAUGAUGGAGCAUGACUGAGCCUCCCUUCCCCAAGCACAGCUCACAGCCUGCAUGAGGCAGGGGCACUGGGGCUGGGCUUCCUCUGUCCUGAUGAAUUGCUUCGCCCAGUGUGUAUUUCAGACACUGAAGUGCAGGUUCAUUGCUUGUCUGGAUGCCCUGCAAGUGUUUGAGGCUGGGCUGGAUGGGGCUUUGAGCAGCCUGGACUGGUGGAAGGUUGUGAGGGACAGGUCAGAGCCUUAGCGGGGCGCUCCGUGUCCUGGGCUGAGCCCCCCGUGCAGUCUGAAAUGCAUCGCUUGGUGCCUUGAUUUGGGAUGUCAGUCUCCCACUGGCUGGGCUGGUGCAGGUAUGCGCAGCACGGGGAACGAGGGCAGCUCUGCAGUGGGUCACGAUGGGCAGGAAUCCGGGGCUUGUAAGGGAUCC
rnacentral:lncRNA from 1 species